rnacentral:rRNA from 1 species
GGAUUAGAUACCCCGGUAGUCCACGCCGUAAACGUUGGGCGCUAGGUGUGGGGUCCCUUCCACGGGUUCCGUGCCGCAGCUAACGCAUUAAGCGCCCCGCCUGUGGAGUACGGCCGCAAGGCUAAAACUCAAAGGAAUUGACGGGGGCCCGCACAAGCGGCGGAGCAUGUGGAUUAAUUCGAUGCAACGCGAAGAACCUUACCUGGGUUUGACAUACACCGGAAACAUCUGGAGACAGGUGCCCCGCAAGGUCGGUGUACAGGUGGUGCAUGGCUG